rnacentral:misc_RNA from 1 species
UUUCCGUAGGUGAACCUGCGGAAGGAUCAUUAACACUAUCCAACCUAACUCAACCGAGCCUUUAGCAGCGCUGUGGCAUCCGCCUAGGCGCCGCAACAGACAUAACUAAAGGAAGCUAACUAAGCUCAAACACAAAAACCAAAUUUUCAACGAUGGAUAUCUUGGUUCCC